CCAGAAUUCAGUCUCAUGUAGAUCUCAGAGUUUUCACAUGUUUACAGCAACCAUAUUCCAACAUUUCUAGAGUGGAUUUCACUUUACAGGGUCUUUAAUAACCCAUUGUUGCCACUGCUAUGUCAAUGUUGCAGAAAGAAACAACACCCCCCUCCCCCUGCUGAGCCCCAAGCCUCCACAUCUACUGGGGACAGCCCCGGUGGCAAAUACCAGAGGAAGAGACCACACAAGAGUGCAACCCUGGAUGCCCACUAUAUGAGAAGUCUGGAGAUAUACAUGGAGUACAAGGAGCUGAAAAUUGAGUACUUAAAGCUCAAAAUGAAAAAACUAAAGCGAGAAUUAGGAUCGGGUGAAGGAUAAAUAAAAGUGU